rnacentral:rRNA from 1 species
AUUGAACGCUGGCGGCAGGCCUAACACAUGCAAGUCGAACGAGUGGCGGACGGGUGAGUAAUGUCUGGGAAACUGCCUGAUGGAGGGGGAUAACUACUGGAAACGGUAGCUAAUACCGCAUACCAUCAGAUGUGCCCAGAUGGGAUUAGCUUGUUGGUGGGGUAACGGCUCACCAAGGCGACGAUCCCUACCUGGUCUGAGAGGAUUACCAGCCACACUGGAACUGGGAAACGGUCCAGACGCCUACGGGAGGCAGCAGUGGGGAAUAUUGCACAAUGGGCGAAAGCCUGAUGCGGCGAUGCCGCGUGUAUGAAGAAGGCCUUCGGGUUGUAAAGUACUUUCAGCGGGGAGGCGUUACCCGCAGAAGAAGCACCGGCUAACUCCGUGCCAGCCGCCGCGGUAAUUC